GAUGAACGCUGGCGGCGUGCCUAAUACAUGCAAGUCGAGCGAACAGACGAGGAGCUUGCUCCUCUGACGUUAGCGGCGGACGGGUGAGUAACACGUGGAUAACCUACCUAUAAGACUGGGAUAACUUCGGGAAACCGGAGCUAAUACCGGAUAAUAUAUUGAACCGCAUGGUUCAAUAGUGAAAGACGGUUUUGCUUUCACUUAUAGGUGGAUCCGCGCCGCAUUAGCUAGUUGGUAAGGUAACGGCUUACCAAGGCAACGAUGCGUAGCCGACCUGAGAGGGUGAUCGGCCACACUGGAACUGAGACACGGUCCAGACUCCUACGGGAGGCAGCAGUAGGGAAUCUUCCGCAAUGGGCGAAAGCCUGACGGAGCAACGCCGCGUGAGUGAUGAAGGUCUUCGGAUCGUAAAACUCUGUUAUUAGGGAAGAACAAAUGUGUAAGUAACUAUGCACGUCUUGACGGUACCUAAUCAGAAAGCCACGGCUAACUACGUG
rnacentral:rRNA from 1 species